rnacentral:rRNA from 1 species
AUUGAACGCUGGCGGCAUGCCUUACACAUGCAAGUCGAGCGGUAGAGAGAAGCUUGCUUCUCUUGAGAGCGGCGGACGGGUGAGUAAUGCCUAGGAAUCUGCCUAGUGGUGGGGGAUAACGUCCGGAAACGGACGCUAAUACCGCAUACGUCCUACGGGAGAAAGCGGGGGAUCUUCGGACCUUGUGCUAAUAGAUGAGCCUAAGUCAGAUUAGCUAGUUGGUGGGGUAAAGGCCUACCAAGGCGACGAUCUGUAGCGGGUCUGAGAGGAUGAUCCGCCACACUGGGACUGAGACACGGCCCAGACUCCUACGGGAGGCAACAGUGGGGAAUAUUGGACAAUGGGCGCAAGCCUGAUCCAGCCAUGCCGCGUGUGUGAAGAAGGCCUUUUGGUUGUAAAGCACUUUAAGCGAGGAGGAGGCUACUUGGAUUAAUACUCUAGGAUAGUGGACGUUACUCGCAGAAUAAGCACCGGCUAACUCUGUG